rnacentral:tRNA from 1 species
AGUAAAAUCAGCUAAGUUAAGCUUUCGGGCUCAUGCCCCGAACAUGUUGGUUAGAGUCCUUCCUUUACUA